AUUGUCUCAAAGAUUAAGCCAUGCAUGUCUAAGUAUAAAUAGUAUACAGUGAAACUGCGAAUGGCUCAUUAAAACAGUUAUAGUUUAUUUGAUAAUUGACAAUUACAUGGAUAACCGUGGUAAUUCUAGAGCUAAUACAUGCUUAAACGCCCGACUUUAUGGAAGGGUGGUAUUUAUUAGACUGAAGCCAAUAUUCCUUGUGUCUAUUGCGGUGAUUCAUAAUAACUGAUCGAAUCUCUUUUUGAGAUAAAUCAUUCAAGUUUCUGCCCUAUCAGCUUUCGAUGGUAGUGUAUUGGACUACCAUGCAGUAACGGGUAACGAAGAAUUAGGGUUCGAUUUCGGAGAGGGAGCAUGAGAAACGGCUACCACAUCUAAGGAAGGCAGCAGGCGCGUAAAUUACCCAAUCCUGACUCAGGGAGGUAGUGACAAGAAAUAGCAAACCGGGAACCUCAUGGUUUCACGGUAUUGCAAUGAGAACAAUUUAAAACCCUUAGCAGAAUCAAGUGGAGGACAAGUCUGGUGCCAGCACCCGCGGUAAUUCCAGCUCCACUAGCGUAUAUUAAAGUUGUUGCAGUUAAAAAGCUCGUAGUUGAACCUCUGUCUGGGGCUAGUUUUGGCUUUGGUCAGGCCAGUUCUAGGCAUCCGCCUACAAGACUUAGAGGGCAUUCAGUUGUUCACUAGGAGGAGUAGGCAUUUUACUUUGAAAAAAUUAGAGUGUUUAAGGCAGGCAAUCGCCCGCAUAUAUUAGCAUGGAAUAAUAGAAUAGGACACUUUUCCAUUUCGUUGGUUAUUGGAAUCGUGUAAUGAUUAAUAGGGACAGUUGUGGGCAUUUGUAUUCAAUUGUCAGAGGUGAAAUUCUUGGAUUUAUUAAAGACAAACUAACGCGAAAGCAUUUGCCAAGGAUGUUUUCAUUAAUCAAGGACGAAAGUUAGGGGAUCAAAGACGAUCAGAUACCGUCCUAGUCUUAACUAUAAACUAUUCCGACUCAAUGUUUGACUGGCUUAUAUAACCAGUUGAGCGUUGUAUGAGAAAUCAAAGUCUUUAGGUUCUGGGGGGAGUAUGGUUGCAAAGCUGAAACUUAAAGGAAUUGACGGAAGAGCACAACCAGGAGUGGAUUCUGCGGCUUAAUUUGACUCAACACGGGGAAACUUACCAGGUUAAAACAAUAGUGGGAUUGACAGUUUGAGAGCGCUUUCUUGAUUGGUUGGGUGGUGGUGCAUGGCCGUUCUUAGUUGGUGGAGUGAUUUGUCCGCUUAAUUGCGUUAACGAACGAGACCUUAACCUGCUUACUAGACU
rnacentral:rRNA from 1 species